AUUGAACGCUGGCGGCAUACUUUACACAUGCAAGUCGAACGGCAGCGCGGGCUUCGGCCUGGCGGCGAGUGGCGAACGGGUGAGUAAUAUAUCGGAACGUACCCAAGAGUGGGGGAUAACGUAGCGAAAGUUACGCUAAUACCGCAUACGAUCUAAGGAUGAAAGCAGGGGAUCGCAAGACCUUGUGCUCCUGGAGCGGCCGAUAUCUGAUUAGCUAGUUGGUGAGGUAAAGGCUCACCAAGGCAACGAUCAGUAGCUGGUCUGAGAGGACGACCAGCCACACUGGAACUGAGACACGGUCCAGACUCCUACGGGAGGCAGCAGUGGGGAAUUUUGGACAAUGGGGGCAACCCUGAUCCAGCAAUGCCGCGUGAGUGAAGAAGGCC
rnacentral:rRNA from 1 species